UACCCUUAGACCCCUGCACAAAGGCAACGGCGCAUUCCUGCAUCUUGAACCGAAGAAUAACAGAAGGGAACAAAGAAUCAGAAACGAACCCGCCCCUCUUGAACAAGAACCCAGCGCACAAGCUGAAAUUUCCUUGAAAAUUUGGAUUUAAGACUAUACAAAGGCAACAAUUGAAACCAAGUUCAUUUUCAGAUCACUUUUUCAUCUGUUUUCUUUCAAAAAAAUAAUUGAAUUUGCUUUCCAAUUUGCUGCUGUUCGCUGGAGUCUUUGCUGAGUUUCAGACCCGCUGAUUCUAGCUUUGUUUGGCUUUCUUCUCUUCUAAAUGUGAACUUUGUGCAACGAGAAAAUUGUUAGAUCUCGAGGCAGAGGUGAUACUUCCAAGUGGAGGAGAGAACCUUCUAGGGGUCGAGGCAAGAGUUCUCUAUCCCUCGCCCUACAGAGGAUAAUCACAAAGAAAGCUAAAGCCGGCCGAGAGAGAGAUGCAGAGCCCUCCAAUUUCAGUUCUUAUGUCCCAUAUAGGGAUGCUUCAGAGGGCAACUCAGUUCAAGAGUAGCCAACUGUCCAAUCAAAGCCACGAAGAUGGUAUCAACUGAUUGGGUGGACUGAGUGACUGUGAGGACUGAGUGACUGGGAGGACGGAGUGAAUCGAUACUCUAAGAAUAUUGGAUGCUGAUGUUGCUGCAUACCGCGGGGGCUAGAUUUGACGAUGUACCUGCAUUCCAGUUAUGGAUCUCACUUGUUCUUAGUAGAAUUAGAUUUAGAUUCGGUUCACUUACAUUUCAACAGAUGUUGUAACUAUUUCAAUUCAGCUUUGUAAAAAAAUCUAAUUCUUAGAAGCUCAUGAUUUGUACUACCUGUCCUUGGGAAAUUCUUUGCAUCAAAGCAGUUGUAUUAUCAUUUCUUCUCUUGAUAAAUCUCAUUAAAUUGGAUAGUUGUUAAUUUUCUUACCUAGCGGGUUGGGUUAGUGCCAUCAUGACUGUCGGAUUUUGGGUCGUGACACUUGAACUCAUUCAUACUUAACUUGUAUUCUAACUAUGUUGUUGCUUUAUUUACUGGUUGUUUAUUGUUGCCAUUCGUGCUUC